ACUUAACAUAGAGAUAGAUGAGACGUUACUUAAGAUUCCGAAAAGCAGAGUUCCCCACAAUCGGUGUAGAAAAAUAUUUCAGACGUUAGGUUGGGAAUAUAUCGAGUAAUUUUAACGCUUUUUACCAAGCAUUAAAAUUGAAAUAGUAAUUUUAGGGCGAUGAUGACGAGAAGAAUCUCAACCGUUAUUGGGAUGAGUAGGCAGAACACCAGACUCGUCCACGUUAGUCUCCGUAAUGUUUGAGUUCUCGUCAUUUACUUUAACGUACUUUUUUACCGUUGCGCUGACAUAUCCGAUUUGGGUGUGAGCGUUGAUGGUAAGAUCACCGCGUUCUAUACCGAUUCCGAAACUGAACAUUUUUCUUUUCCGGCGGUUUUUGUCGUACUUGGUCUCAGGUUUUGUGGAUAAACAUCCCAUUUUAUUUAUUCUUCUUUUUUUCUCCUCAUUUGCGGUCUUUGCUGACGGUCCCGCUUUGCCUUCCUUACAUGACGCAACGUAUCUGAUGUUGGUUAUUUUGGAUUUAAUGUAACCGAGAUUCAGUCCGCCUUUGUUAAGGUUUAUGUCAACGUUGAUGGUUUUAUCCUUUUUUAAUUUCUUCUUAACUUUGCUGCUGCCGCUAUUCAUCCUUUAUUAAUACGAAAAGAAAAUCCACCUUGAAGUUACGAUUCCACUAACGAUCAGAUUGUUUGAUGCAAUCGGGACGCUUGCCGUGUUAGGGUUCUGGUCUCUGCGCGGUGUAGGGUUUGGACUUACCCCUGGACUCACCUUUGCCUUCUUCGGUUUUGAAUAGUUAACUUUUGCAUUACUACCGAACUCCAUAUCCUUUGUCGCUAGUGUAAGUGUAUUGUUGUAUCCUGCUACUUUUUCCUUAAGUAUAAUCAUAUUGGAUGGUAUUAAUAUUAAUCCGGGUGAUAUUGCCAUGUUAAGUACAACGUUAGUAUCCUUUAUCGCUUUUCUCAUGUUGGAGACGGAUACCGAUACAUC